GUCGUCCCAGAUCUGAGCAUCCCAAACAUCAUCCAACACCAGCAAGAACUUGUUCCCUCUCAGGAGACCAUCCACCAAGGGCUCCAGCAGACUCCUGCUCUGUUCUC